CAUCUCGCCAGAGGAGCGGACGCAGUGCGACUGCGCAGAGCUCACCACGCCCUAUGCCUCCCAGAGGGCACCGCGCGGUGCUGGGCGUUCCUGUAGUGGGAGUUCUCGGUUGUAGGUUUCUCGCUCCUCCGAGUUUAACGCCGCCAGGAUAUUAGUAGCCACUUGCUCCUAAGUGCGUCUUAAGCACUUGUAUGAGGACUUAUGCUCAAGAAGGUUCCCCAGAAAGUCUUUGUAUUUAUGAGUUUGGGAUGUAGUCGCUGAUCUACGGAGUGAUCAGGCAUUUAAAUGAGACCAGACAUCAAGUUUUUGCUUUUACCAGCCUCCUGAAUGCUUACGUGCGGGCCAGAUGCUCUCUGCUCACAGACAGCAAGCGGAGCUUGAUCUUGAAAGGGCCACACCCACUGUAGCCGCUGGCCUACACCCCAGCUCACGGCAACGCCGGAUCCUUAACUCAC